rnacentral:rRNA from 1 species
GGGUGCGAUCAUACCAACGGUAAUGCACCUGAUCCGAUCAGAACUCCACAGUUAAGCGCGCUUGGGCUAGAGUAGUACUGGGAUGGGUGACCUCCCGGGAAGUCCUAGUGUUGCACCCU